rnacentral:rRNA from 1 species
AACGAACGCUGGCGGCAUGCCUAACACAUGCAAGUCGAACGAGACCUUCGGGUCUAGUGUCGCACGGGUGCGUAACGCGUGGGAACCUGCCCUUAGGUUCGGAAUAACUCCCCGAAAGGGGUGCUAAUACCGGAUAAUGUCUUCGGCCCAAAGAUUUAUCGCCUUUGGAUGGGCCCGCGUUGGAUUAGCUGGUUGGUAGGUUAAAAGCCUACCAAGGCGACGAUCCAUAGCUGGUCUGAGAGGAUGAGCAGCCACACUGGGACUGAGAAACGGCCCAGACUCCUACGGGAGGCGGCAGUGGGGAAUAUUGGAAAAUGGGCGGAAGCAUGAUCCAGCAAUGCCGCGUGAGUGAUGAAGGCCUUAGGGUUGUAAAGCACUUUUACCCGGGAUGAUAAUGACAGUACCGGGAGAAUAAGCUCCGGCCAACUCCGUG